AUCUGAACUGCAGAAAUUAUCUGAGCUCAGCUGAUGCAAGUGCACUCUCACCAGGCUUCCUGACAAUGCCUGCAAAAAAUCAGGUCCAGUUUUUGGUAACCUUGGAGAAACAAGUUGCAGCCCAGAUGAUAAAUUUGCAAGCAGGCCAGUGUGAGAGCCGAAGAAUCUGAUCAGAGGUAGUUUUACUGAGAGGAAUUUCUGGAAUUUCAGAGUCUUCUAGGAAUGGAAACAGAGCAAUCCAAUCACCACAAAACUUAAGAUCCAAACCGAUGAAAAACUGAAAAUGAGAAUUGAAGUGAAGUUUGACCUUGCAAAAGAAGUUAAACCAAACAGAUGUUUUUUUUUUUUUUUUUUUCCCCUUUUUUCUUUUUGGUCAUCAAAAUUAGAGAACAGCAAAGAAAGCAGCAGUGAGGUUGGUUUAAGGGAGGGUGAGUUUAUGGCAUAGAUGCUUUCAAAAAAUGUGGUGAUUUUGUGCCUCGGUGUCCAGUUUGGACAAUGGCUCUGAA